GCUCACUUCAGCAGAAUAUAUACUAAAAUUGGAAUGACACAAAGAAGACGAGUGUGAUCCCUGUACAAGGAUGACACACAAAUUUAUAAAGUGUUCCAUAUUAAA